UAUACCUUCCACCCAGCUCACAGCUGUCAAACAUGCUGUUCCACAGACUUGUGAAACAAUAGGCAGAAAGAUGUUAGACAUAAGAAUCCAUUCUCGGAAUUAUAUUGUUUCGAAAAUUUGCUGGGUCUAAGAAUCAACAAUGUGAAAACCCAGAGCUAUUUCUCCUAUUCUCUACUAGCAAAAGAAGGUUGUCUGCCUUCACUGUCAAAGUUUGUCUUCUCAAACAAGUUCUCCUUUACCUGCUAGAGCUAUAUUCAUACUGGAGUUCCCUAAAAUUCUAUUCAUUAUUGUUAAGUGAAACUCCUCCUGCUAAAAGUCCCUUCUUUUUGUCCUUUCGCAGUUUUUUCUUGCUUGGGACAGUUCAGUGUUCAGUCUCCAGUAUACGUUCGUCGAGCAAGCAUUCAGCAUAAUUUGGCAAUUGAGUGAAGUGAGCCCUUAUAUCAGUAAUGACGCUGAUAUGCUAAUGUAAGGUACAUAACUCUAAAUGCGCGAAUUUUGUCUAGGUAGCUUGAAUCAAACUUAAAAUGGUGCGCGGUAGACGUCCAAAAGUGUGUAAUGAGGAGGUAUGUGGAGUGGUUUCGCUCUUUAAAACAAGAGUUUUUGAAAACGGGAAAAUCGUGCCCCCGACAAACAGUGUUUUUAUUGAAAUGUCGAAUAGUUUGAAUGCGCGGAUGACACCGAAAGCGAUCUAUCUUUUCAUUCGUAACAAUAAGUGUGCCCAGUCAAUGUACAAUGAGUGGGGACUUCAACGUGUUCUAGAAGAAGAGGAUCAACAGAUGAAACAUCAGAGGCAUCUUCUGCCAAAGACAAAGCCUUGUGAUUUACCUCUCGUUAUCACUCUAAAUGAAGUGACAUAUACUCUAAGAGGUUUUCUGGGAUUCUGUGGGAAAACAUCAAGCAUCACAAGUAUUGGACAUUAUGUUGCUUAUGUAAGACGGUGCAAUGAUACAUGGGAGCUAUACGAUGACACUAAAGACUCCAAGAUUUGUGUGUCGCCAAGCAAAUCGGUACCCUGUCAAGUAUUGGUCUAUACAGUUUAAUGCAAGGUACGUUUCGAUAAAUUUAUAUUCAUAUUUGUGUACACGUGUACAAUAAUUAUACAUAGUGGGUGAAAUGUAUGAGAAUGGCUUAAUAUCUCAUUCACAAAGCUAAUUUGACGGUUGUUAUGAUUGAGGAUCCUAAUAAAAUUAAAAAACAGUACUACUUUACUGUGACUUGAAGAAUCUGGUCCGCCACUUUGAAUGUAUUUUCUUUUAAUAGGAAGGUGAUCAUGCGAUACAUGAUUGCAAUUAGGAAAUUGAAGACAAAAUUAAUGGUGAAAACCGCACAUUGAUAUGUCAAACCGUUUCGAAGUUCAGAAAACCCUGCAAAUCAGAAAUUAAAUAAAUAUGUUGCUAACUGGCGUAGGCUACUGAUAUUUAUUGCUGACUGGUUUAGCUUGUGAAUUAAUUAGUGAUUUAAGUGUGAUGUGAAUAAAAUGAAAAGUUUAAUUUUCAA